CCUACGGGAGGCAGCAGUGGGGAAUAUUGCACAAUGGGGGAAACCCUGAUGCAGCGACGCCGCGUGAGUGAAGAAGUAUUUCGGUAUGUAAAGCUCUGUCAGCCGGGAAGAAAAUUACGUUCCCUGACCAAGAAGCCCCUACUAACUACGUGCCCGCCGCCGCGGUAAUACGUAGGGGGCAAGUGUUUUCCGGAUUUACUGGGUGUAAAGGGAGCGUAUGCGGCAGGGCAAGUCUGGAGUGAAAGGCGGGGGCUCAACCCCCGGACUGCUCUGGAAACUGCCAGGCUGGAGUGCAGGAGAGGUAAGUGGAAUUCCUAGUGUAGCGGUGAAAUGCGUAGAUAUUAGGAGGAACACCAGUGGCGAAGGCGGCUUACUGGACUGUAACUGACGUUGAGGCUCGAAAGCGUGGGGAGCAAACAGGAUUAGAUACCCGUGUAGUC
rnacentral:rRNA from 1 species